rnacentral:tRNA from 1 species
AGCUCCGAGGUGUUUUACACGUCAGAUUGCAAAUCUGGAGAAGUAGACUGACAGUCUACCGGGGCUU